AUUGAACGCUGGCGGCAGGCUUAACACAUGCAAGUCGAGCGGGGGAAGGUAGCUUGCUACCGGACCUAGCGGCGGACGGGUGAGUAAUGCUUAGGAAUCUGCCUAUUCGUGGGGGACAACAUCUCGAAAGGGAUGCUAAUACCGCAUACGUCCUACGGGAGAAAGCAGGGGAUCUUCGGACCUUGCGCUAAUAGAUGAACCUAAGUCGGGUUAGCUCGUUGGUGGGGUAAAGGCCUACCAAGGGGACGAACUGUAGCGGGUCUGGGAGGAUGAGACGCGACAAUGGGGCGGAGACAAGGCCGAGACUGCUUCGGGGGGCAGCAGUGUGGAAUAUUGGACAAUGGGGGGAGCCCUGAUCCAGGCAUGCCGGUUGUGUGGAGAAGACCGUAUGGUUGCAAAGCACUUGAAGCGAGGAGGAGGCAACUUUGAUUAAUACCUGGAGAUAGUGGACGUUACUCGCAGAAUAAGCACCGGCUAACUCUGUGCCAGCCGCCGCGGUAA
rnacentral:rRNA from 1 species